AUUGAACGCUGGCGGCAGGCCUAACACAUGCAAGUCGAGCGGAUGAAGGGAGCUUGCUCCUGGAUUCAGCGGCGGACGGGUGAGUAAUGCCUAGGAAUCUGCCUGGUAGUGGGGGAUAACGUCCGGAAACGGGCGCUAAUACCGCAUACGUCCUGAGGGAGAAAGUGGGGGAUCUUCGGACCUCACGCUAUCAGAUGAGCCUAGGUCGGAUUAGCUAGUUGGUGGGGUAAAGGCCUACCAAGGCGACGAUCCGUAACUGGUCUGAGAGGAUGAUCAGUCACACUGGAACUGAGACACGGUCCAGACUCCUACGGGAGGCAGCAGUGGGGAAUAUUGGACAAUGGGCGAAAGCCUGAUCCAGCCAUGCCACGUGUGUGAAGAAGGUCUUCGGAUUGUAAAGCACUUUAAGUUGGGGGGAAGGGCAGUAAGUUAAUACCUUGCUGUUUUGACGUUACCAACAGAAUAAGCACCGGCUAACUUCGUG
rnacentral:rRNA from 1 species